CAGGCUUAACACAUGCAAGUCGAGGGGCAGCAUGGUCUUAGCUCGCUAAGGCCGAUGGCGACCGGCGCACGGGUGAGUAACACGUAUCCAACCUGCCGUCUACUCUUGGACAGCCUUCUGAAAGGAAGAUUAAUACAAGAUGGCAUCAUGAGUCCGCAUGUUCACAUGAUUAAAGGUAUUCCGGUAGACGAUGGGGAUGCGUUCCAUUAGAUAGUAGGCGGGGUAACGGCCCACCUAGUCUUCGAUGGAUAGGGGUUCUGAGAGGAAGGUCCCCCACAUUGGAACUGAGACACGGUCCAAACUCCUACGGGAGGCAGCAGUGAGGAAUAUUGGUCAAUGGGCGAGAGCCUGAACCAGCCAAGUAGCGUGAAGGAUGACUGCCCUAUGGGUUGUAAACUUCUUUUAUAAAGGAAUAAAGUCGGGUAUGGAUACCCGUUUGCAUGUACUUUAUGAAUAAGGAUCGGCUAACUCCGUGCCAGCAGCCGCGGUAAUACGGAGGAUCCGAGCGUUAUCCGGAUUUAUUGGGUUUAAAGGGAGCGUAGAUGGAUGUUUAAGUCAGUUGUGAAAGUUUGCGGCUCAACCGUAAAAUUGCAGUUGAUACUGGAUAUCUUGAGUGCAGUUGAGGCAGGCGGAAUUCGUGGUGUAGCGGUGAAAUGCUUAGAUAUCACGAAGAACUCCGAUUGCGAAGGCAGCCUGCUAAGCUGCAACUGACAUUGAGGCUCGAAAGUGUGGGUAUCAAACAGGAUUAGAUACCCUGGUAGUCCACACGGUAAACGACGAAUACUCGCUGUUUGCGAUAUACUGCAAGCGGCCAAGCGAAAGCGUUAAGUAUUCCACCUGGGGAGUACGCCGGCAACGGUGAAACUCAAAGGAAUUGACGGGGGCCCGCACAAGCGGAGGAACAUGUGGUUUAAUUCGAUGAUACGCGAGGAACCUUACCCGGGCUUAAAUUGCAGAUGAAUUACGGUGAAAGCCGUAAGCCGCAAGGCAUCUGUGAAGGUGCUGCAUGGUUGUCGUCAGCUCGUGCCGUGAGGUGUCGGCUUAAGUGCCAUAACGAGCGCAACCCUUGUUGUCAGUUACUAACAGGUUCCGCUGAGGACUCUGACAAGACUGCCAUCGUAAGAUGUGAGGAAGGUGGGGAUGACGUCAAAUCAGCACGGCCCUUACGUCCGGGGCUACACACGUGUUACAAUGGGGGGUACAGAGGGCCGCUACCACGCGAGUGGAUGCCAAUCCCCAAAACCUCUCUCAGUUCGGACUGGAGUCUGCAACCCGACUCCACGAAGCUGGAUUCGCUAGUAAUCGCGCAUCAGCCACGGCGCGGUGAAUACGUUCCCGGGCCUUGUACACACCGCCCGUCAAGCCAUGGGAGCCGGGGGUACCUGAAGUGCGUAACCGCGAGGAGCGCCCUAGGGUAAAACUGGUGACUGGGGCUA
rnacentral:rRNA from 1 species